GCAAGUCGAACGAGAACGGGUCUUAGCUUGCUAAGAUUGUCAGCUAAGUGGCGCACGGGUGAGUAAUAUAUAGUUAACCUGCCCUAGAGAGAGGGAUAACGUUUGGAAACGGACGCUAAUACCUCAUAUGCCUUUAUCUCAAAAGAGAGCAAGGGAAAUAUUUAUAGCUCGAAGAUUGGCCUGUACAGUAUCAGUUAGUUGGUGAGGUAAUGGCUCACCAAGACAAUGACGCUUAACUGGUUUGAGAGGAUGAUC
rnacentral:rRNA from 1 species